UACGUAGGGGGCAAGCGUUGUCCGGAAUCAUUGGGCGUAAAGAGCGUGUAGGCGGCUCGAUAAGUCUGCUGUGAAAGUCCAGGGCUCAACCCUGGAAGGCCGGUGGAAACUGUCGGGCUAGAGUCCGGAAGAGGCGAGUGGAAUUCCCGGUGUAGCGGUGAAAUGCGCAGAUAUCGGGAGGAACACCAAUGGCGAAGGCAGCUUGCUGGGACGGUACUGACGCUGAGGCGCGAAAGCGUGGGGAGCAAACAGG
rnacentral:rRNA from 1 species